rnacentral:rRNA from 1 species
UGGGGAAUAUUGGACAAUGGGCGAAAGCCUGAUCCAGCCAUGCCGCGUGAGUGAUGAAGGCCUUAGGGUUGUAAAGCUCUUUCGCCAGGGAAGAUAAUGACGGUACCUGGAAAAGAAGCCUCGGCUAACUCCGUGCCAGCAGCCGCGGUAAGACGGAGGAGGCUAGCGUUGUUCGGAAUUACUGGGCGUAAAGCGUGCGCAGGUUGUGAGAUCAGUUGGAUGUGAAAGCCCGGGGCUUAACCUCGGAUGUGCAUCCAAUACUGUCUCGCUGGAGGUUGGAAGAGGAGAGUGGAAUUCCCAGUGUAGAGGUGAAAUUCGUAGAUAUUGGGAAGAACACCAGUGGCGAAGGCGGCUCUCUGGUCCAUACCUGACACUCAUGCACGAAAGCGUGGGGAGCAAACA